rnacentral:tRNA from 1 species
UCCCUUAUAGUUGGUAAAGAACCUGCCUGCAAUGCAGGAGACCUGGGUUCAAUUCCUGGGUCGGGAA